GACGAACGCUGGCGGCGUGCUUAACACAUGCAAGUCGAACGGAAAGGCCCUGCUUUUGUGGGGUGCUCGAGUGGCGAACGGGUGAGUAACACGUGAGUAACCUGCCCUUGACUUUGGGAUAACUUCAGGAAACUGGGGCUAAUACCGGAUAGGAGCUCCUGCUGCAUGGUGGGGGUUGGAAAGUUUCGGCGGUUGGGGAUGGACUCGCGGCUUAUCAGCUUGUUGGUGGGGUAGUGGCUUACCAAGGCUUUGACGGGUAGCCGGCCUGAGAGGGUGACCGGGCACAUUGGGACUGAGAUACGGCCCAGACUCCUACGGGAGGCAGCAGUGGGGAAUAUUGCACAAUGGGCGGAAGCCUGAUGCAGCAACGCCGCGUGCGGGAUGACGGCCUUCGGGUUGUAAACCGCUUUCGCCUGUGACGAAGCGUGAGUGACGAUAAUGGGUAAAGAAGCACCGACUAACUACGUG
rnacentral:rRNA from 1 species